rnacentral:misc_RNA from 1 species
GAUGAAGAACGUAGCAAAAUGCGAUACUUGGUGUGAAUUGCAGAAUCCCGUGAACCAUCGAGUUUUUGAACGCAAGUUGCGCCUCAAGCCAUUAGGUUGAGGGCACGUCUGCCUGGGCGUCACAUAUCGUUGCCUGAUGCCAGUUUCCUCGUGAUGGGUGACUGUGCAGGGCGAAUGAUGGCUUCCCGUGAGCAUUGUUGCCUCAUGGUUGGUUGAAAAUUGAGUCCUUGGUAGGGAGCGCCGUGAUAGAUGGUGGUUGAGUGACGAACGAGACCCAAUCAUGUGAGACCCCUACCGAAUUUGGCCUUCAUGACCCACAUGCGUCUUUGGAACGCUCAUGACGAGACCUCAGGUCAGGCGGGGCUACCCGCUGAGUUUAAGCAUAUCAAUAAGCGGAGGA